rnacentral:rRNA from 1 species
UUCCUUUAUAUUUAAAUUAAAGGUCUAACCUGACCACUGAAAAAGCUUGAAUGGCCGCAGUAAAUUGACUGUGCAAAGGUAGCAUAAUCAAUAGUUUUUUAAUUAAAAGCUUGUAUGAAUGGUUGGACGAGAUAAAAUCUGUCUUUAGAUAAAAAGUAGAAUUUAAUUUUUAAGUUUAAAAGCUUAAAUUUUAUUAAAAGACGAGAAGAUCCUAUAGAUCUUUAUAAUAAAUUAUUUAUUUUUAUUGUGAAUUAUUUAGUUAUUUUAGUUGGUUUAUUAUUUUAUUCGGGUAAUAUUAAGAUUAAAGUAAUUCUUUUUUGAAAUAACAUUUGUUUUUGGUUAAUUGAUCCAUUAUUAGUGAUUAUAAGAUUAAGAUACCUUAGGGAUAACAGCGUAAUUUUUUUAGAGAGUUCUAUCGAUAAAAAAGUUUGCGACCUCGAUGUUGUAACUAGGUGUAAUAGUUUAGAAUUUUGGUCUGUUCGAUCAUUAAAUUUUUACAUGAUCUGAGUUCAGACCGGUGUAAGCCAGGUCGGUUUCUAUCUUUAGUUAAUUAAAAUAUUUUAGUACGAAAGGACCAAGUAUUUAAUAUAUUAGGUAUUUUUAAUUUGAAUAU